GGAGUUUGAGACCAUCCUGGGCAACAUGGCAAGAACCCAUCUCUAUAAAAACAACAACAACAAAACAACAAGAAGUCAGUAGAUCUUAAAGCACUAGAUCUUAAACCCUGUGAUGGGCAAUUUCCUUGUCAAUUUAGCGAGGCUGUGAUACCCAUGAUUCAACCAAACGCUUGCCUGGGUGCUACUGUGAGGUGCGUUGUACAUGUGGUCAGCACUGAUGAUCACUGGCUGUAAGUCAAAGGUUCUCCUCUGCGAGGUGGGUGGGCCUCAUGCAAUCGGUUGAAAGGCCUCAAGAGCAGAACCGAGGUUUCCCUGAAGAAGAAGAAAUCCUGCCUGGGGACUGCAGUGUCAGCUCCUCCGGGGAGCUUCCGGCCUGCUGGCCUGCCCUCUGGAUUUCAGACUUGCCUAGCCAGCCCCCACAAUCACGUAAGCCGAUUCCUUGAAAUAAACUUAAUCUAUAUCUCCUUCUGGUUCUGAUUCUCUGGCAGAACUCUGAUCCUCUCCCUAAACGGUGCCCGGGACGGGGGAGGAGUUGGCGCUACUUCAUUGCUUCCCUUUCACGC
rnacentral:lncRNA from 10 species